GUGGGGAAUAUUGGACAAUGGGCGAAAGCCUGAUCCAGCCAUGCCGCGUGUGUGAAGAAGGUCUUCGGAUUGUAAAGCACUUUAAGUUGGGAGGAAGGGCAGUAAGUUAAUACCUUGCUGUUUUGACGUUACCGACAGAAUAAGCACCGGCUAACUUCGUGCCAGCAGCCGCGGUAAUACGAAGGGUGCAAGCGUUAAUCGGAAUUAAUGGGCGUAAAGCGCGCGUAGGUGGUUUUGUAAGUUGGAGGUGAAAUCCCCGGGCUCAACCUGGGAACUGCCUCCAAAACUGCAUGACUAGAGUACGGUAGAGGGUAGUGGAAUUUCCUGUGUAGCGGUGAAAUGCGUAGAUAUAGGAAGGAACACCAGUGGCGAAGGCGACUACCUGGACUGAUACUGACACUGAGGUGCGAAAGCGUGGGGAGCAAACAGGAUUAGAUACCCCAGUAGUCC
rnacentral:rRNA from 1 species